UGUCAUUCUGGAGACAGUGAGAGUGGC
rnacentral:piRNA from 1 species